UACGAACCGUGCGAACGUUGUUCGGAAUCACUGGGCUUAAAGGGCGCGUAGGCGGGCUUGCAAGUCUGUGGUGAAAUCCUCCAGCCCAACUGGAGAACUGCCGUGGAUACUGCGAGUCUCGAGGGAGGUAGGGGCGUGCGGAACAGAUGGUGGAGCGGUGAAAUGCGUUGAUAUCAGGAGGAACACCGGUGGCGAAGGCGGGACUCUGGGCCGAUACUGACGCUGAGGAGCGAAAGCGUGGGGAGCAAACAGG
rnacentral:rRNA from 1 species